rnacentral:rRNA from 2 species
UGGGGAAUCUUCCGCAGUGGGCGAAAGCCUGACGGAGCAACGCCGCGUGAGUGAAGAAGGCCUUCGGGUCGUAAAACUCUGUCUUCAGGGAAGAAAAAAAUGACGGUACCUGAGGAGGAAGCCCCGGCUAACUACGUGCCAGCAGCCGCGGUAAAACGUAGGGGGCGAGCGUUGUCCGGAAUUACUGGGCGUAAAGGGCGCGUAGGCGGUCAUUUAAGUCAGAGGUGAAAACUACCGGCUCAACCGGUAGCCUGCCUUUGAAACUGGAUGACUUGAGGGCAGGAGAGGGGAGUGGAAUUCCCAGUGGAGCGGUGAAAUGCGUAGAUAUUGGGAGGAACACCAGUGGCGAAGGCGGCUUGCUGGGCAGCAACUGACGCUGAGGCGCGAAAGCCAGGGGAGCAAACGGG